rnacentral:lncRNA from 1 species
GACGCCAUCAAAGAAACCGGCGGCGAGGAGCGCAUCCCGCAGGGGAAGGCCCGCGGCCUGCGUGGGCCGCGACGGGGACCGGUGCGCUGGCAGGCACUUCAUGCCGGGACAGCUAAAGCCAAGUUUACAGCAGAGCCUGGCACAGUACCCGAACCACAAGGAGAUAGCAGCUACUGUGAUUGGACACGUUCAAGUGAUACCAUGCUCCAGGGAAGGCUUCGACGUGACUCAUCACAGCACUUGGCACGGAGUAACUCAACUAACAUCUGUUGGAGGGAUGAAUAAUUUAGGGGAUCCCGAGAAGGCCACUCGGAGGCUUGGCAGCCAGGGAAGAGUGACGAGACCCUCCCCACACCAAGCUUUCUCCAUCUCCAAAGCCUAUGUCACCUCUGUCUUCAGAAUGUCCCCUGCUGCAGUAAGCGGAAGGUCUUCUUCCACUGGAGUCUUCAGCCUUCCAGAAUGAAGAAUUCUAAGAACCAGGUGACCGGCAAUCCAAGGGCUACAGGUCAAUGUCGUGUCCUCAGCUUGGAGAAUGGGUAGCAGAGGAAAGAGACUGCUGGGAUACAUCCACUCAAAGCAUGACAUAGAGCACCCCAAACUCUAAAGUUGAAGCUUGUGAGCAUCCUUGCUACAGAGGGCUCCGUGCCUGGGUGACAGGGUUGUUCAUUAGGGGACCUUUUCAGGGAAGUUCCUGGGGCACCCCAUCUGUACUGGAACUUCAGCUUCAGAGUUAGGCUGGGAACCAGUGGGUCCCUCCUCAGUGAAUAGGUGUUGGGGUCUCCCUGGCUCAGUCAUGGGUGGCUCUUCCAGCCCAGAGCACUGGAUCCUCUCUGCGUUCCUUUCUUCUGAGCACCAGAGCCAAUUAGGGCACAGGUGUGUGCUGCUUUCCACCUGACUAAGGACAUACAGCCUUGUGGUGGCUUUUCUCAUAGCCCCUCCUUUCUCUUCCAGUAUGUAUUCACAUGACACAAGCAGAUGCACACACUACCAACACAUCUGAUACAGGUAUUAAAUAAACAUGAUUUCAUAACCUCCACAGGCAAGGACACCCAAUCAACCUAAUAACCAUAUAAGAAGAAAUGCUUGAAAGUAAGAGUUGGUUCUCUCUAUUUCAUUUCAAAUAAGCACGGCCACACUGUUCAUCGUCUAAACCACUCAGACUCGCAGUAAAUAGGCUCAUACUGGCGUUGCUCUAAAUACAUUAUUUAUUUUGUUAAAAAA